GGCCCAGUAGCGGAUGGUCCGCGCCUGCACUCGAUAGCUUAUGGGCGACUUUAUAUCUCUGCAGGAGUCGUUCGUUCAAAUCGAGCCUGGGCCA